CUGUACCCAGCAAAGCCACAGGGAUGGAGCUGCCCAAGGCCUUUGGAGCCCACCCCUUGUGUCAGUGUGGCCUGGAUGUGUGACACAGGGUCAAAGAGCAUCUUGGAGGUUGG